rnacentral:rRNA from 1 species
GCCUACGGGGGGCAGCAGUAGGGAAUCUUCCACAAUGGGCGAAAGCCUGAUGGAGCAACGCCGCGUGGGUGAAGAAGGUCUUCUGAUCGUAAAACCCUGUUGUUAGAGAAGAAAGUGCGUGAGAGUAACUGUUCACGUUUCGACGGUAUUUAACCAGAAAGCCACGGCUAACUACGUGCCAGCAGCCGCGGUAAUACGUAGGUGGCAAGCGUUAUCCGGAUUUAUUGGGCGUAAAGGGAACGCAGGCGGUCUUUUAAGUCUGAUGUGAAAGCCUUCGGCUUAACCGGAGUAGUGCAUUGGAAACU